rnacentral:rRNA from 1 species
AGAAUGAACGCUGGCGGCGUGCUUAACACAUGCAAGUCGAGCGAGGCCAGGGGGGCAACUCCCUGAGUCGAGCGGCGGACGGGUGAGUAACACGUGGGUAACCUACCCGGAAGUGGGGAAUACCUCGGGGAAACUCGAGCUAAUACCGCAUGACAUCUUUGGGACGAAAGUCCUGACGAUCAAAGCGGGGUCGCAAGAUCUCGCGCUACCGGAUGGGCCCGCGCCCGAUUAGCUAGUUGGUGAGGUAACGGCUCACCAAGGCGACGAUCGGUAACCGGCCUGAGAGGGCGAUCGGUCACACCGGAACUGAGACACGGUCCGGACUCCUACGGGAGGCAGCAGUGGGGAAUCUUGCGCAAUGGGCGAAAGCCUGACGCAGCAACGCCGCGUGGAGGAUGAAGGCCCUUGGGUUGUAAACUCCUGUCGGCUGGGAAGAAGUCGUUCGCGGUUAAUACCCGCGGACGUUGACUGUACCAGCAAAGGAAGCCCCGGCUAACUCUGUGCCAGCAGCCGCGGUAAUACAGAGGGGGCCAGCGUUAUUCGGAAUUAUUGGGCGUAAAGGGCGCGUAGGCGGCCAUGCGUGUCUUCCGUGAAAUCCCUCGGCUCAACCGAGGACGUGCGGAAGAAACUGCAAGGCUCGAGUCCAGAAGAGGGGGGCGGAAUUCCCAGUGUAGCGGUGAAAUGCGUAGAUAUUGGGAGGAACACCGGUGGCGAAGGCGGCCCCCUGGGCUGGUACUGACGCUGAGGCGCGAAAGCGUGAGUAGCAAACGGGAUUAGAUACCCCGGUAGUCCACGCCGUAAACGAUGGGCACUUGGUGUCGCGGGUAUCGACCCCUGCGGUGCCGAAGCUAACGCAUUAAGUGCCCCGCCUGGGGAGUACGGUCGCAAGGCU